AACGUAGGACACAAGCGUUAUCCGGAGUUACUGGGCGUAAAGGGCGUGUAGGCGGAUCGGUAAGUCUACUCUGAAAGCUCCUGGCUAAACUGGGAGAGGCGAGUGGAGACUGUCGGUCUAGAGUGAGGAAGAGGAAAAGUGGGAAAUUUCCCGCGACUGUGAUGUAGGCUGGGUAAGUGAAACUGGUCGGAUGAAGGAAGUAGUCGGGAGGAAUCGGAACCGGAAAGU
rnacentral:rRNA from 1 species